rnacentral:lncRNA from 1 species
UGUCCAGCAUUCAGUCUCUUGUUAUCCCAAUUAAGAGCAAAUUCUUCAGAUGCUUGGCGCUUUGUUCCAAUAGCUUCAAAUAUAAAGAAUACACAAAAUUAGCGACAUGCUCAAACCAUUUGACCCAUUCUAGACAUGCAGCGCAUUUGACAAAUGAUAGUAUAAGAAAAUAGAUUACAAAAAUAUAAAACUUAACUCAUGUAACAUAAUACACUGGAGGAUGGUGGAUGCCAAUACAAACCUAAAUAAGUCCAAGUGAUAGGAGGGUAAAAGAAGAAAAUAUCACCAGUGUGCUGCUUUCACCAAAAACAAUAAGUGUUUUUCCCGUGAACAUUAGUAGAGGUAAUAAGGUUUCUGAAAACGUGGAUGCUCAAUUUUAAACUCUCUGGAAUUCAAUUUUCAGUUGAUCUUGGGCUGAAUGUUAGUCUUUCAUUUAGAAACCCUUGCUGGAUAUUUUCCAUUGAUCUUGUAUAUAGUCAACUAGUCUUUGCCAACCCCAAGCCACCGGCCAACCCCACCGACUGUUCCCCCACUCUCGCCCCCAC